UCUGUGCCAAAUGUCCAGAUGUGAUCAAUA
rnacentral:piRNA from 1 species